AGAGUUUGAUCCUGGCUCAGGAUGAACGCUAGCGGCAGGCCUAACACAUGCAAGUCGAGGGGCAUCACGAGGUAGCAAUACUUUGGUGGCGACCGGCGCACGGGUGCGUAACGCGUAUGUAACCUACCUAUAACAGGGGCAUAACACUGAGAAAUUGGUACUAAUUCCCCAUAAUAUUCGGAGAGGCAUCUCUCCGGGUUGAAAACUCCGGUGGUUAUAGAUGGACAUGCGUUGUAUUAGCUAGUUGGUGAGGUAACGGCUCACCAAGGCAACGAUACAUAGGGGGACUGAGAGGUUAACCCCCCACACUGGUACUGAGACACGGACCAGACUCCUACGGGAGGCAGCAGUGAGGAAUAUUGGUCAAUGGACGCAAGUCUGAACCAGCCAUGCCGCGUGCAGGAAGACGGCUCUAUGAGUUGUAAACUGCUUUUGUACGAGGGUAAACUCACCUACGUGUAGGUGACUGAAAGUAUCGUACGAAUAAGGAUCGGCUAACUCCGUGCCAGCAGCCGCGGUAAUACGGAGGAUCCGAGCGUUAUCCGGAUUUAUUGGGUUUAAAGGGUGCGUAGGCGGUUUGAUAAGUUAGAGGUGAAAUCCCGGGGCUUAACUCCGGAACUGCCUCUAAUACUGUUAGACUAGAGAGUAGUUGCGGUAGGCGGAAUGUAUGGUGUAGCGGUGAAAUGCUUAGAGAUCAUACAGAACACCGAUUGCGAAGGCAGCUUACCAAACUAUAUCUGACGUUGAGGCACGAAAGCGUGGGGAGCAAACAGGAUUAGAUACCCUGGUAGUCCACGCAGUAAACGAUGAUAACUCGUUGUCGGCGAUACACAGUCGGUGACUAAGCGAAAGCGAUAAGUUAUCCACCUGGGGAGUACGUUCGCAAGAAUGAAACUCAAAGGAAUUGACGGGGGCCCGCACAAGCGGAGGAACAUGUG
rnacentral:rRNA from 1 species